rnacentral:misc_RNA from 1 species
GUUCCGUAGGUGAACCUGCGGAAGGAUCAUUAAUGUGUUUGGGCCUCACGGCUCUUCAUUCCGACGCUGUGCGCCUUCGGGCUGCACGCUGAGGGAGCAUAUAUCCACCCCUGUGCACACACACGGUGGCGAGCUGGGUAACGGCUCGCCGCUGAUCUUUACACACGUCUAAAAGUCAUUGUAUGUUUAUUUGAGAUAAAAACACAACUUUCAGCAACGGAUCUCUUGGCUCUC